CCUGACGACGCAACGCCGCGUGGAGGAUGAAGGUCUUCGGAUUGUAAACUCCUGUUGCCUGGGACGAAAGAACGGGGUGAGAAUACUGCCUCGUCGUGACGGUACCCCCAAAGGAAGCGCCGGCUAACUCCGUGCCAGCAGCCGCGGUAAUACGGAGGGCGCGAGCGUUGUUCGGAAUCACUGGGCGUAAAGCGCGCGCAGGCGGGACUAGCAAGUCGGGAGUGAAAUUUCGGAGCUCAACUCCGAGGCUGCUUCCGAAACUGCGGACCUGGAGACUGGUAGAGGUGGGUGGAAUUCCCGGUGUAGCGGUGGAAUGCGUAGAGAUCGGGAAGAACACCGGUGGCGAAGGCGGCCCACUGGGCCAGUUCUGACGCUGAGGCGCGAAAGCGUGGGGAGCAAACAGGAUUAGAUACCCUGGUAGUCCACGCCGUAAACGAUGGGCACUAGGUGCCGGGGGGAGCGACCCCUUCGGUGCCGCAGCUAACGCGUUAAGUGCCCCGCCUGGGGAGUACGGCCGCAAGGCUG
rnacentral:rRNA from 1 species